UACAGAGGGGGCAAGCGUUGUUCGGAAUUACUGGGCGUAAAGGGCGCGUAGGCGGCCUUCUAAGUCGAACUUGAAAUCCCCGGGCUCAACCCGGGAACUGCGUCCGAUACUGGAAGGCUUGAAUCCGGGAGAGGGAUGCGGAAUUCCAGGUGUAGCGGUGAAAUGCGUAGAUAUCGGGAGGAACACCAGUGGCGAAGGCGGCAACCUGGGCCAAUACUGACGCUGAGGUGCGAAAGCGUGGGGAGCAAACAGG
rnacentral:rRNA from 1 species